rnacentral:rRNA from 1 species
GCGACGGUUGUCCCGGUUUAAGCGUGUAGGCUGGUUUUCCAGGCAAAUCCGGAAAAUCAAGGCUGAGGCGUGAUGACGAGGCACUACGGUGCUGAAGCAACAAAUGCCCUGCUUCCAGGAAAAGCCUCUAAGCAUCAGGUAACAUCAAAUCGUACCCCAAACCGACACAGGUGGUCAGGUAGAGAAUACCAAGGCGCUUGAGAGAACUCGGGUGAAGGAACUAGGCAAAAUGGUGCCGUAACUUCGGGAGAAGGCACGCUGAUAUGUAGGUGAAGCGACUUGCUCGUGGAGCUGAAAUCAGUCGAAGAUACCAGCUGGCUGCAACUGUUUAUUAAAAACACAGCACUGUGCAAACACGAAAGUGGACGUAUACGGUGUGACGCCUGCCCGGUGC